AUGAACGCUGGCGGCGUGCCUCAUCCAUGCCAGUCGAGCGAACGGACGAGAAGCUUGCUUUUCUGAUGUUAGCGGCGGACGGGUGAGUAACACGUGGAUAACCUACCUAUAAGACUGGGAUAACUUCGGGAAACCGGAGCUAAUACCGGAUAAUAUUUUGAACCGCAUGGUUCAAAAGUGAAAGACGGUCUUGCUGUCACUUAUAGAUGGAUCCGCGCUGCAUUAGCUAGUUGGUAAGGUAACGGCUUACCAAGGCAACGAUGCAUAGCCGACCUGAGAGGGUGAUCGGCCACACUGGAACUGAGACACGGUCCAGACUCCUACGGGAGGCAGCAGUAGGGAAUCUUCCGCAAUGGGCGAAAGCCUGACGGAGCAACGCCGCGUGAGUGAUGAAGGUCUUCGGAUCGUAAAACUCUGUUAUUAGGGAAGAACAUAUGUGUAAGUAACUGUGCACAUCUUGACGGUACCUAAUCAGAAAGCCACGGCUAACUACGUG
rnacentral:rRNA from 1 species